UCUCCGUUGGUGAACCAGCGGAGGGAUCAUUACCUAGUUUACAACUCCCAAACCCCUGUGAACAUACCAUUUGUUGCCUCGGCGGUGCCUGCUUCGGCAGCCCGCCAGAGGACCCAAACCCUUGAUUUUAUACAGUAUCUUCUGAGUAAAUGAUUAAAUAAAUCAAAACUUUCAACAACGGAUCUCUUGGUUCUG
rnacentral:misc_RNA from 1 species